rnacentral:lncRNA from 1 species
AUGAGACAUUGCAGGGAAGCAGGUUAUGAACAGUGGCUUCUGGGGGCCCCAAAAGUCUCUCUGUGCUUGGCACCGUGGGCAGGGCUGGGCUGGCAGGAGGUGCCACCCUGCAGGGUGGCAGAGGGCACUGCUGCCAUGUGGGACCUGCAGGGCACGAGCGUGGGUGCCCCUGUGCCAGUCACAGCAUGGUGUGAACUCCUCAAGAGCACUCCGGUCUGGGAGCACCCCUGCCUGCUGCACACCUGGCAGCUGUUCCUGCAGAGAGGGACAGAACCGCGUCCAGCAGGGACUGUCCCUGUCCCUGUGAGCCAGCCUGCACACCCAUGGCACCCACAGCACCACCAGUGUCAUCGAGUUCCAGCCCCAGCACCUCCCACCGCCGCCACACACCACACAGGUUCCUUCACUGACAGAAAAUCAACAGAAAGCAAAACCCAACUGUGGGUUGAGGCAGAAAAUCAAACCAGUUGUCCAAGCCCAAGCCAAGUGACAGAGGCUCCUUCCAGCAGCUGCACCAGCCUAUGACACGUGUAAACCAAAACAGAUCAGCUACUGCCAACAGGAGCUCUGCCCACUACAGCAGGUGCCAGGAGGGCACACAGAGUCCUCAGAAGCCUUCAGCUGUGUUGUACUCUGGCUGGAGACAGGUCACAGCCUGCUGGGACAAGGGAUUUGCUUAUUUUUGUUUCUCUAGGGAGCAGUUCCAGUGCACAGCCAUUGCACAGAGCACAGAAAGGCCAUGGCACUCCCACAGUGGGACAGCACCAACCCCAGAGCUCCUCCUCAACCACCUGUGCUCCAGCAGGGAACAUGUACCUGGCCAGUCACAGGAAAGCCUCUCCUUAGAAGAAAUUCCCUAAUGCACAGGUUAGUGCUGCCUGGAAUGACUAAAGCAAUGCUCUAAGGGUACAUUAAAUAACUACUUUCAGUGCUAGUUCACCUCUGGCUGCAGCACCUGCACCCAGGGGCUUAGGGCCCUUGCUCACCUGGUGCCAGUGCAGUGGUGAUGGUGACACAGGUGACAUCCAGUCCCCAGCCAUGUCUGACCAGACUGGGGAAGGGCCAUUUCACAGAGCAAACCCCUCACCCAGCCCCUUCAAGAUGCAUUCACCCAGACUGCCCGUUCUGAUCUGUGCUCAGGUGCUGUGGGCUGCUCCAGCCA